GAUGGGUGUGCGACUGAUUAGGCAGUUGGCGGGGUAACGGCCCACCAAACCUACGAUCAGUAACUGGUGUGAGAGCACGACCAGUCACACGGGCACUGAGACACGGGCCCGACUCCUACGGGAGGCAGCAGUAAGGAAUAUUGGUCAAUGGACGCAAGUCUGAACCAGCCACGCCGCGUGGAGGAUGAAGGUCCUCUGGAUUGUAAACUUCUUUUAUCUGGGAAGAAACCCACGAAUUCUUUUGUGGUUGACGGUACCAGAUGAAUAAGCACCGGCUAACUCCGUGCCAGCAGCCGCGGUAAUACGGAGGGUGCAAGCGUUAUCCGGAUUCACUGGGUUUAAAGGGUGCGUAGGUGGGUUGGUAAGUCAGUGGUGAAAUCUCCAGGCUUAACUUGGAAACUGCCAUUGAUACUAUCAAUCUUGAAUACCGUGGAGGUCAGCGGAAUAUGUCAUGUAGCGGUGAAAUGCUUAGAUAUGACAUAGAACACCAAUUGCGAAGGCAGCUGGCUACACGAAUAUUGACACUGAUGCACGAAAGCGUGGGGAUCAAACAGGAUUAGAUACCCUGGUAGUCCACGCCCUAAACGAUGGAUACUCGACAU
rnacentral:rRNA from 1 species